UUGCAUAUCAAUAAGCGGAGGAAAAGAAACCAACAGGGAUUGCCCUAGUAACGGCGAGUGAAGCGGCAACAGCUCAAAUUUGAAAUCUGGCUCUCGGGCCCGAGUUGUAAUUUGUAGAGGAUGACUUUGAUGCGGUGCCUUCCGAGUUCCCUGGAACGGGACGCCAUAGAGGGUGAGAGCCCCGUCUGGUUGGAUGCCAAAUCUCUGUAAGUCUCCUUCGACGAGUCGAGUAGUUUGGGAAUGCUGCUCUAAAUGGGAGGUAUAUGUCUUCUAAAGCUAAAUACCGGCCAGAGACCGAUAGCGCACAAGUAGAGUGAUCGAAAGAUGAAAAGCACUUUGAAAAGAGAGUUAAAAAGUACGUGAAAUUGUUGAAAGGGAAGCGUUUAUGACCAGACUUGGGCUUGGUUAAUCAUCUGGGGUUCUCCCCAGUGCACUUUUCCAGUUCAGGCCAGCAUCAGUUUUCGCCGGGGGAUAAAGACUUCGGGAAUGUGGCUCCUCUCGGGGAGUGUUAUAGCCCGUUGUGUAAUACCCUGGCGGGGACUGAGGUUCGCGCUUCUGCAAGGAUGCUGGCGUAAUGGUCAUCAACGACCCGUCUUGAAACCACGGACC
rnacentral:rRNA from 1 species